CAGGCUGUCGCCUCCCUUCACUUGCGCUCCAUAAAGAAGACGACGACGACUUCUCUGCCGCCUCCGCUCGGAUUCCUCGCCAUUGGUGAAAGCUCAGCGGCUUCGGAGCUCCUGCCGGCCAUGGAGAUACAACUCGGGGACUAUUCUCCGGACAAGUUUGCCAGCCUCGCUCUUGCGCCCAAAGGGCGCACGGACUCGCAGGAAGGCCGCUGGAGGGCGCAGGAGGAGUCGAUCGACGACUGGCUGCCGAUCAACGCCAGGAGGAACGCCAAGUGGUGGUACUCCGCCUUCCACAAUGUCACCGCCAUGGUCGGCGCCGGCGUGCUAAGCCUCCCCUACGCCAUGUCCGAGCUCGGCUGGGAGGCCGGCGUCACGGUGCUGAUCCUGUCAUGGAUCAUCACGCUGUACACGCUGUGGCAGAUGGUGGAGAUGCACGAGAUGGUGCCGGGCAGGCGGUUCGACCGGUACCACGAGCUCGGGCAGUACGCCUUCGGCGAGAAGCUGGGCCUCUGGAUCGUCGUGCCGCAGCAGCUGGUGGUGGAGGUCGGCCUCAACAUCGUCUACAUGGUCACCGGCGGCCAGUCCCUGCAGAAGUUCCACGCCGUCGUCUGCCACGACUGCAAGCACAUCAAGCUCACCUACUUCAUCAUGAUCUUCGCCUCCGCCCACUUCGUGCUCUCCCAGCUCCCCAACUUCCACUCCAUCUCCGGCGUCUCCCUCGCUGCCGCCGUCAUGUCGCUCUGCUACUCGACGAUCGCGUGGAUCGCGUCCGCUGCCAAGGGGAAGUCGGCGGACGUGGACUACCACCUGCGGGCGACGACGAUGCCGGGGAAGGCGUUCGGCUUCUUCGGGGCGCUCGGGGACGUGGCGUUCGCGUACGCGGGGCACAACGUGGUGCUGGAGAUCCAGGCCACCAUCCCGUCGACGCCGGACAAGCCGUCCAAGAAGCCCAUGUGGAAGGGCGUCGUCGUCGCCUACGUCGUCGUCGCGGCGUGCUACUUCCCGGCCUCGCUCGUCGGGUACUGGGCGUUCGGCAACGAAGUCCAUGACAACAUCCUCAUCUCCCUCGAGAAACCAAGGUGGCUCAUCGCCAUCGCCAACAUGAUGGUCGUCGUCCAUCUCCUUGGUGGUUACCAGAUUUAUGCGAUGCCGGUGUUCGACAUGAUAGAGACAGUGCUGGUGAGGAAGUUUUGGUUCCCUCCAGGCCUGAUGCUGCGUCUGAUUGCCCGGACUUCCUACGUUGCGUUCACGAUGUUUGUGGCCAUCACCUUCCCCUUCUUCAGUGAAUUGCUCAGUUUCUUCGGUGGAUUCGCCUUCGCACCGACCACUUACUUCCUUCCCUGCAUCAUGUGGCUCACAAUCUACAAGCCUAAAAGGUUCAGCCUCUCAUGGUUCACCAACUGGGCGUGUAUUGUUAUUGGAGUGCUGCUGAUGGUACUAUCACCAAUUGGAGGACUCCGGCAGAUCAUUGUGAAAAUCGAGACACACCAAUUCCAAUUUUAUCAAGACUACCCCCAGCAAUGAUAAAUUCAGCACAAACCCCUGAUUUAAACCAUGAGCUUUGCUACGUUACAAUGAAGUAAUUGAGGAUCGCUCAUUUAGUUAGAUCUAGACGGAUGUCAUCACAUAUUACCUCGUAGAUGGUAUAGGACAAAUAUGCAUUUAUAUAUUUUUAUUAUUUUUGGGAAUAGAAAAAAAAAUAUGUCAGUAUCUUGCAAUUAGAUCUUUUAAGCAAAAAAUAGAAAGAUUGCAAUUGGCCAUAUCUAAUGUGUUGACGUUAUGGCGUACAAACAUGUCUAGCUUUUUUUAAACAUGAGGGAUCUCUACGUCUCUACAUAAUGCGCACCUCACAUUUAUUGAAUUUUUUUUAACAUUGAUGAUUGAUUCAGUCCUCGACUUCAUGCAAAUACUUCAACUUGUUUGUGUAUUUAUUUGAGAAUUUGAAUGCCGUGAUACUUAGACUUAUAUUUUUUGAUUCAUUCUUGAACCAUUAUAGCCCUACAAUAAUUAUACUCGAAUUUUCAAUGUGUGUGUGUGUGUGUUGUCUAUUUUUUGUGGCAGUAUGGCGAAUUCCAUCUAGCAACCUUUGCAAAUGUUUAAAAUAUUUUUCAAAUGGAUGAAAUCAAGACUGUUUGUAAUAUUAGUCCACAACAUAGUUGAUUUUCAAAUAUUUUCAAGAAGAUUCUUUUUCUAUCAAAUAUUGCAGAAGGUUGUCUAAGAGGUUGUACAAACACAACAUAACCACAAACACAACAUAACCAAGUUCAGACUUCAGAGUGAUGGUUUUGCGGGAAUUGACUGCAAUUCACAGCACACUACAUACUGUUAUUAUGUCAGUCAUGUCGUCCCUUUUACGGAUGGUCAUUUUAUUUGUUUAUUUCACAUAGAGUAGGUGAAUCUGACAUUUUAAAGCCUUUUUAACCGCACUCAUUUAUCUAGGAACUGACGGUUUCUUUUUUUUAACAUUUGAACUACUUGACCUGUAAAUACAGAGGCAUGAUUAUCCGUCCAUUAUUAUUUGUUACGCAAUACCCAUGUGUAUUUAAUUUAUCCUUUUUGAUGAAAUGCUUUAUCAAACUGUAACUUGUGCUGAAAUAAUGCCAGAGAAAAAUUAAACGCUAUGUAAAUUAGGUAGGUAGGCCUGUCUGUCGGUCGCCUGAACUAUUCCAUCUGUACUCAUGCAGCAAGUCAAGUCGCCGUGGAGCAAGACUUGUCUGCAGUGCAGCCUGCCGGAAGUAUCCUCGCAAAUCCACUUGACGACCAAACUACCUGUCAUCCUGUCACUAUUAGUUUCAUCCAGCUGAAUUAUAUUCUUGUCGCCGAAUUUUCUCUUGUUUCUGCCAGCUUCCCUGCAUCAUGUGGCUCACAAUCUACAAGCCCAAAACGCCAAAAACCUGUGUUCCAGCGUCUCCUGGUUUAAAAACUGGAUCUGCAUCGUUCUUGGGGUGCUGCUGAUGGUACUGUCACCGAUUGGAGGACUUCGGAAGAUUAUUUUAAAAGCAAAGACAUACAAAUUCUACCAGUAAAUAUGACCAACUCAACAUAAACCGUAUCCCCAGUUUAAGACAUUCAACAAACGUUCGAAAUGCCUCAAGUUUUGAAUGAAACUCCCCUUUUUCGGCAUGAUCAAACUCACAUUAGGCAAUGCAAUUGGUGCUACAUCUGCACCUUACUGAGUUUUUGUUGCACCAAAAGGUAUGGGAAUGUCAUGGAUUCAAAAUUAAAAGCUUGUUCCAGAAGUUCAUGGUGAUGGUUAAACAAGAGUUUAUUUUUAGUCACCAUAUACUGUAUACAUAUAGAUGCUUUGUUUAUGUUCUUGGGCAAAGUUAUUUUACUUGUGCU